rnacentral:rRNA from 1 species
UACGUAGGGUGCAAGCGUUAAUCGGAAUUACUGGGCGUAAAGCGUGCGCAGGCGGCUAUGCAAGACAGAUGUGAAAUCCCCCGGGCUUAACCUGGGAACUGCAUUUGUGACUGCAUGGCUAGAGUACGGUAGAGGGGGGAUGGAAUUCCGCAUGUAGCAGUGAAAUGCGUAGAUAUGCGGAGGAACACCGAUGGCGAAGGCAAUCCCCCUGGACCUGUACUGACGCUCAUG